UACAGAGGGUGCGAGCGUUGUCCGGAAUCACUGGGCGUAAAGGGCGCGUAGGUGGUGGCUUAAGCGUGCGGUGAAAGCUCGGGGCUCAACUCCGAGUCGGCCGUGCGAACUGGGCUCACUGGAGCAUAGUAGAGGCAGGUGGAAUUCCGGGUGUAGCGGUGGAAUGCGUAGAGAUCCGGAAGAACACCGGUGGCGAAGGCGGCCUGCUGGGCAGUAGCUGACGCUGAGGCGCGACAGCGUGGGGAGCAAACAGG
rnacentral:rRNA from 1 species